rnacentral:lncRNA from 11 species
UGCAAUGACUCCUACGCAAGCUUGCCUGGUUCUUUAACAGGCGAUUUUCCAAUCUUGGGAAUCCAUCCAAGUCUGCUUUGGGUUUGUAGAAGGUAUUGAAAUCAUAGCUGGAGAUGAAGAAAAGGGUUGUGUUUAAUGCAAACCUUUCAAGGUCUGAUUCUUCUGCAAGGGCUUGCAGCUACCUGCGAAAACAAUCCAGCUAUUUUUUUUAAAGGCAGUUGGCAACAGCCUACACAACCCAUCCCCAAUAUAUCUCUUCUUUUAUUUUUAUUUUUGAAGCAAUGUUUCCACAGAAAUCUGGAUGAUGCCCUUGACAUCAUCCGCUGUGGGUGGCGAGGAACUAAAAUAACCCCUUCCUGCAAUCGAAAUGUGUUUGGGAGGUGCCGGCAGCUCACGCGAAGGCACGUGCAUGUGAACAUACCCACGCACAAAUGCAUCAGUGUACUCACAAAUAAUUUGAGCCUUUCUACUGGAUGUGCGAAGCUCCGACCUGUCAAACGAGGAGGCAGGCAAGAAAGCAGAGCAACAACAACAACAACAAGCCUUGGAAAAGAAUUUCAGCAGCUCUGGCAUGUAGGGGGUUCAUGCUUUCCCUGAGUUUCCAGCUUUCCUCUAAUGACAGCCUUCCCCCAACUCAGAGCCUCCUACAUGUGUUGGAUUACAGUUCCCAUUAUCCCAAGGCAUCGGGACCCUUUGAAAGGUGCUAGGUAAGAAAAGGUCACUUGACAGUUGUCACCUGAAAUAGAGCCUGAACUGCAAGACCAAUCAAUCAAUCUGUGUAUUCGACCAAGAAUGGAAGAAUUACACAAUUCAGGUAGCAGAAUUCUUUAAUCUGAAUACAAAGUAAAAUUCAUGUUUUUCCCAUUUUUAGUUCUCAUACCUGCCAAAUGAAAAACCUGCAUGUUCUUAAAUACCUUUGUUCAAUCUUAGAUCCAUCACAAACGCUACAUCAUUAGCUUUCCAGUCUCCAUGACCUUGAGACACAUAUACACACACUGCUUUGCUUUGUAGCUUUUACUAAGUUAACUUAAUGAAUCCUUGCUUUGAGUAAAUGGUAGGGUUAUAAAUUAAUCAGUGCAUUACAAUAUGCAUCCCAGUUAUUCACUUCAGUCCUCCAUCAACAUAACCUCUCAAAAGAUGCCCUGUUCUCAAAGAACGUCACCAUUUUCUUCUUGCCUACAAAUGUCAAGAAGAUGAAAUGCUUCCUCCCUUAUUCUGAGUGGGCAUUUUAUCCCUUGUUUCACAGCCU